GAUGAACGCUAGCGGCAGGCCUAAUACAUGCAAGUCGAACGGUGUCUUCGAACAUAGUGGCGCACGGGUGCGUAACACGUAUGCAACCUACCUUACAUUGGGGGAUAGCCUUUCGAAAGGGAGAUUAAUACCGCAUAAGACAGUAGCUGGGCAUCCAGCAGCUGUUAAAGAUUUAUCGAUGUAAGCUGGGCAUGCGUCCAAUUAGCUAGUUGGUGAGGUAACGGCUCACCAAGGCAAUGAUUGGUAGGGGAACUGAGAGGUCAAUCCCCCACACUGGCACUGAGAUACGGGCCAGACUCCUACGGGAGGCAGCAGUAGGGAAUAUUGGGCAAUGGACGCAAGUCUGACCCAGCCAUGCCGCGUGCAGGAUGAAGACGUUAUGCGUUGUAAACUGCUUUUAUACAGGAAGAAACGACUCUUGCGAGAGGCAUUGACGGUACUGUAUGAAUAAGCACCGGCUAACUCCGUGCCAGCCGCCCCGUAACAC
rnacentral:rRNA from 1 species